rnacentral:lncRNA from 1 species
GACAUUUAUAGCUUGAUGUCCACGCAGGCUAUGCUAGUGAGACCAGCUUGCCUAGUUAUCAGCCCACAUCUUCUCCAAUUCCCAUUUCAGUGACUCAUUAUAGGUAAUGAAAACAGACUGCUUCUGGCCAUGGAGUAGCUCUCAGUAAACCAAUGCCUGCUGAGGACUCAAGGAAGUGGCCGUAAAUCAGAAGGCAUCUGCUUGAAGGACUGCAGAGCUUCCCUGGCAGCCAUGACCCAGAGGGAAGCUUGAGGAGAGGGUUCCCUACACAACACUACAGAUGCCAGAGAGAUCCAUGCAGCCACACAUCUGAAGGCGGUGGACUGGAUCCCUGGGAAGUGGUGGAACUGGCCUCAUCAGAGCUCAAGACCUGGCUCCAACUUCGUUGUGAUCGGGAGCAGGUUUACUUUAACCAGAAAGCGUGGCAGACUCUCAGGGUUGAUGUAAAAACAGCCCAGCCUGAUCAGAG